AGCUCUUGAAACUGGGAGACUUGAGUGCAGGAGAGGAGAGUGGAAUUCCUAGUGUAGCGGUGAAAUGCGUAGAUAUUAGGAGGAACACCAGUUGCGAAGGCGGCUCUCUGGACUGUAACUGACGCUGGGGCACGAAAGCGUGGGGAGCAAACAGGAUUAGAUACCCUGGUAGUCCACGCUGUAAACGAUGAGUACUAGGUGUCGGGGGUUACCCCCCUCGGUGCCGCAGCUAACGCAUUAAGUAC
rnacentral:rRNA from 1 species